GAUGAACGCUGGCGGCGUGCUUAACACAUGCAAGUCGAACGAAGCACUUUAUUUGAUUUCCUUCGGGACUGAUUAUUUUGUGACUGAGUGGCGGACGGGUGAGUAACGCGUGGGUAACCUGCCUUGUACAGGGGGAUAACAGUUGGAAACGGCUGCUAAUACCGCAUAAGCGCACGGCAUCGCAUGAUGCAGUGUGAAAAACUCCGGUGGUAUAAGAUGGACCCGCGUUGGAUUAGCUAGUUGGUGAGGUAACGGCCCACCAAGGCGACGAUCCAUAGCCGACCUGAGAGGGUGCCCGGCCACAUUGGGACUGAGACACGGCCCAAACUCCUACGGGAGGCAGCAGUGGGGAAUAUUGCACAAUGGGCGAAAGCCUGAUGCAGCGACGCCGCGUGAGCGAAGAAGUAUUUCGGUAUGUAAAGCUCUAUCAGCAGGGAAGAUAAUGACGGUACCUGACUAAGAAGCACCGGCUAAAUACGUG
rnacentral:rRNA from 1 species